GGUUUGAUUAAUGGAUAAGUUUUUUUUGGACUUGGAUAGAAUUCGUUACGUGUGGGUCCUUCUCUUCUUCUUCAUCCCAUUAAUUUCGCUGCGAAUAUCCCCUACCAAAAUUCCUAUUCUCCCUCUUCAUAAAUACUUUAAUCAAUUCGUCCACUGUGGGACUACGCACAUUCCUCUUUGAUCCAUUCUUCAUCAGAUAUGGAUGUCGUUGAGAUCUUCCUGAUCUGCGUUGUAGCUUCCUCUGUUUUGGUUUUCCUCAUUCUCGAUCACUUAGAUUCCGUACAAAACCGCAGCAAAUGCUGCGUGCCCGGCGAAAUUGAAUCGGAAAUUGGAAAAGAAGUCACCGCCGGACAUGGAGAUUUUCAGAAAUUCGAUGAAAAAACUGUGGUUGCAGAAAAAGUCGAAGAAGAAGAAGAAGCAGUAAAAAGGGGAGAUUCUACUGAAAACAGGGGCGGUUGCGCGAAAUUAGGGUUUCGCAGUGAAGAAGAAGGGGAAAUUGGGGAUGAUUGGGAAGGGAUAGAGAGUACUGAAUUGGAGCAGAUAUUUGGAAAGGCAAUGGCGUUUGUGAACUGCAACAGCAAUGGCGAUCAUCGAUUAUCAUCCGCCAUGGAUAUGGACCUCUACGCCCUUCAACAAGUUGCUCUUCAAGGUCCCUGCCAUGGAUCACAGCCUAUGGCAUUGAACCUCAACGCUCGUUCCAAAUGGAAAGCAUGGCAGAGGCUCGGCGACAUGAGCCGGGAAGGCGCGAUGGAGAAGUACAUUGAAACUCUGUCCGAAGCAAUUCCUCAAUGGAAGGAAGAAGUCGGCGAGGCAGCUUCUGCUCGAGCUUUCGGAGGCGUAAGUUGAGUUUGCAGGAUAUUAGGUUCGACGGAAUUUACCCAAUGCGCACUUUCGGGUAGCGGUUAAUAAAGUAUAAAACCAUGAUGAAAGAAGCAAAGAAGGUUAUAAGCCUAGUAGGAAGACUCAUGUAUCUCGUGCACACUCGAGCGGAUCUUGCAUAUACAGUAGGGUUAAUUUCAAGUUUGAACUUUCAGAUGAGACGGUCAUUUUGCAUCCGACAUGGUAUCAAAGUCUGGCUAAGUUUCGAGUUUGAGCCCACCGUUCCCAUCUGCGGCCUAUGCAUGUGCAAAAGAAUAUGUACUGAUUGACUACGUCUAACGGUGGUUAAAGAAGUUUUAGUGAUUUAGAUCAUAAGCAAUCUCAAGCCACAAUAUUAUUUUGUGACAAUGUUAAAGCAAUGGCCAUGGCAAAUAAUCUAACUAGGCAUGAGAAUUUAAAUGAAGGGGGCAUAUUGA